ensembl:lncRNA
AUUACACCACCCGUAUCUCUAGAGAUGACAUGGUGCUGCCUUUAUAGUGGAGCAUUACACCACCCGUAUCUUUAGAGAUUACAUGGUUCUGCCUUUAUAGUGGAGCAUUACACCACCCGUAUCUAUAGAGAUUACAUGGUGCUGCCUUUAUAGUGCAGCAUUACUCCACCCGGGCCGCAUCUAAAGAGAUGACAUGGUGCUGCCAUUAAAGUGGAGUAAUGCACCACCCAUGGUGGUGCAUUACUCCACCCGUAUCUCUAGAGAUGACCUGGUGGUGCUGGGGAAGGGGGUAUUGACAUAUACUGCACUAAUACAAACAGAACAAGGCCUUGACAGGGGAUACCGCUGGCGUGUCUCACUACAGUAGGACACACACACCCGGAGGGGGGGGGGGGGGGGUCGCGGCUCCUGGCCGUGAGUCUGGCAGUGGCCAUAACUCUGGGUUAUGAGUGUGUGUUCCCAAGAUGGAUGACAUCGCUCUGCGCUGGCUGCAGAGACAAGGCGACAACCCAGGGUGGCAAUGAAGAUGCUGUAUUGUACUGUGUGUGUGUGUGUGUGUGUGUGUGUGUCUGUGUGUGUAUGUGUGUUUGUGUGCACUAGUGUACUGAGCUUGUGCACAGGGGGAUUAGGAGUGUGCACGUGUGGUCAAUUGUACGCGCACACUCCUUUUAUCCUACGAGUGGAUCAAUGAAAAGGGCCACUCAGAGUGCAAAGAUUGAUUUCAGGCCGGUUGUCAAACUAAGUUCUCCGAUGGAAUGUCUCCGUGCUCCUCUGGUCUCCGACUCCAUCUGUCUGGAGUCGGAGUCUCCGUGAAGAGGUCCCACAUGGACAUUUAUCCUGCAGUUUGGUCUUUGCUUUCAUACAAAACGUGAAGUACUUAAAAGCGACGGCAGGUCUUUUUGCGUACAAAAGCCUUAGAGGACGUUAACUACGGCCCAUUUCCUCUGAACUUUCGGGGAUCAAUUCGCCGUUGGCCGUGCGGCAGAGGGGCGUCGCCGGGGUUGUGCUGUAAUCUGGGGUUUGGCCUCGUGUUGAGGGGGUGGAGCGGACUGAGCCUCACCCCCUCACACUCAGGGAAUGUGGUGGAGAUCUCAGGUCACAAAUGACAUGUUGGAUUGGAACCAGUGGCACCA